ensembl:snoRNA
AGCACUGUGUGGUAUCUGCAGCCAGCUGGUCAUCAGCUGGUUUGUUCAAAAGCCAGUGCUAGAAGAAGUCAACCUCUGGCAUCGUUGGUCUCCAUGACACUGUGUCUGGAGUCCUGGUAUGGGUGUUGAGACACAGCA